rnacentral:rRNA from 1 species
UACGUAGGGACCAAGCGUUGUUCGGAUUUACUGGGCGUAAAGGGCGCGUAGGCGGCGUGUUAAGUCACUUGUGAAAUCUCUAAGCUUAACUUAGAACGGUCAAGUGAUACUGAUGUGCUAGAGUGCAGAAGGGGCAACCGGAAUUCUUGGUGUAGCGGUGAAAUGCGUAGAUAUCAAGAGGAACACCUGAGGUGAAGACGGGUUGCUGGGCUGACACUGAUGCUGAGGCGCGAAAGCUAGGGUAGCAAACGGG